AAAGUGGGCCAGGCAGUCGCGGCCUGCGCGGUUUCGGCCGCGCGGGGCGAGGAAAGUCCGGACUCCGCCAGGGCAGGGUGAUGGCUAACGGCCAUCCGUGGUGACACGCGGAACAGGGCAACAGAGAACAGACCGCCGAUGGCCCGGCGCAAGCCGGGAUCAGGUAAGGGUGAAACGGUGCGGUAAGAGCGCACCGCGGCUGCGGCGACGUAUGCCGGCACGGUAACCUCCACCCGGAGCAAUUCCAAGUAGGCAGGCGCGCAUCCUCGCGAUGCAGGACGGUGCCCCCGUUUCGCCUGCGGGUAGGAAGCUUGAGCGCGUCAGCAAUGGCGCGCCUAGAGGAAUGACUGCCACGCCUUGCGCGUCCUGGACGCGCGAGGUGCACAGAAUCCGGCUUAUCGGCCCGCUUUGCCG
rfam:Burkholderia gladioli BSR3 chromosome 1, complete sequence.